rnacentral:rRNA from 1 species
ACGAACGCUGGCGGCACGCUUAACACAUGCAAGUCGAACGAGAGAAGAGAAGCUUGCUUUUCUGAUCUAGUGGCGGACGGGUGAGUAACACGUGAGCAAUCUGCCUUUCAGAGGGGGAUACCGAUUGGAAACGAUCGUUAAUACCGCAUAAUAUAAUUGAACCGCAUGAUUUGAUUAUCAAAGAUUUAUCGCUGAAAGAUGAGCUCGCGUCUGAUUAGCUAGUUGGUAAGGUAACGGCUUACCAAGGCGACGAUCAGUAGCCGGACUGAGAGGUUGAUCGGCCACAUUGGGACUGAGACACGGCCCAGACUCCUACGGGAGGCAGCAGUGGGGAAUAUUGCACAAUGGAGGAAACUCUGAUGCAGCGAUGCCGCGUGAGGGAAGAAGGUUUUAGGAUUGUAAACCUCUGUCUUCAGGGACGAAAAAUGACGGUACCUGAGGAGGAAGCUCCGGCUAACUACGUGCCAGCAGCCGCGGUAAUACGUAGGGAGCGAGCGUUGUCCGGAAUUACUGGGUGUAAAGGGAGCGUAGGCGGGAUCGCAAGUCAGAUGUGAAAACUAUGGGCUUAACCCAUAAACUGCAUUUGAAACUGUGGUUCUUGAGUGAAGUAGAGGUAAGCGGAAUUCCUAGUGUAGCGGUGAAAUGCGUAGAUAUUAGGAGGAACAUCAGUGGCGAAGGCGGCUUACUGGGCUUUAACUGACGCUGAGGCUCGAAAGCGUGGGGAGCAAACAGGAUUAGAUACCCUGGUAGUCCACGCCGUAAACGAUGAUUACUAGGUGUGGGGGGACUGACCCCUUCCGUGCCGCAGCAAACGCAAUAAGUAAUCCACCUGGGGAGUACGACCGCAAGGUUGAAACUCAAAGGAAUUGACGGGGGCCCGCACAAGCAGUGGAGUAUGUGGAUUAAUUCGAAGCAACGCGAAGAACCUUACCAGGUCUUGACAUCGUAUGCACAGCUCAGAGAUGAGUGAAAUCUCUUCGGAGACAUAUAGACAGGUGGUGCAUGGUUGUCGUCAGCUCGUGUCGUGAGAUGUUGGGUUAAGUCCCGCAACGAGCGCAACCCUUACUGUUAGUUGCUACGCAAGAGCACUCUAGCAGGACUGCCGUUGACAAAACGGAGGAAGGUGGGGAUGACGUCAAAUCAUCAUGCCCCUUAUGACCUGGGCCUCACACGUACUACAAUGGCUGUCAACAGAGGGAAGCAAAGCCGCGAGGUGGAGCAAACCCCUAAAAGCAGUCUUAGUUCGGAUUGUAGGCUGCAACCCGCCUACAUGAAGUCGGAAUUGCUAGUAAUCGCAGAUCAGCAUGCUGCGGUGAAUACGUUCCCGGGCCUUGUACACACCGCCCGUCACGCCAUGGGAGUCGGUAACACCCGAAGCCUGUAGUCUAACCGCAAGGAGGACGCAGUCGAAGGUGGGAUUGAUGACUGGGGUG